GACGAACGCUGGCGGCGCGCCUAACACAUGCAAGUCGAACGAGCGAGAGAGAGCUUGCUUUCUCAAGCGAGUGGCGAACGGGUGAGUAACGCGUGAGGAACCUGCCUCAAAGAGGGGGACAACAGUUGGAAACGACUGCUAAUACCGCAUAAGCCCACGACCCGGCAUCGGGUAGAGGGAAAAGGAGCAAUCCGCUUUGAGAUGGCCUCGCGUCCGAUUAGCUAGUUGGUGAGGUAACGGCCCACCAAGGCGACGAUCGGUAGCCGGACUGAGAGGUUGAACGGCCACAUUGGGACUGAGACACGGCCCAGACUCCUACGGGAAGCAGCAGUGGGGAAUAUUGCACAAUGGGGGAAACCCUGAUGCAGCGACGCCGCGUGGAGGAAGAAGGUCUUCGGAUUGUAAACUCCUGUUGUCGAGGAAGAUAAUGACGGUACUCAACAAGGAAGUGACGGCUAACUACGUG
rnacentral:rRNA from 1 species